UCCUGCAUGGUCAGGCAGUGCCAACUCCAGCUGUACGGGCAUGUGGCACGCUACCCACCCUGCGCACCGGGCUGUUUCAGAGUGGAAGAGGCUGAGGGAAUGCCCACGAAGCUCACAGAUUCCGCGUCUCCAUGGACCCUGCCGCAAGACUUCCAGCGCUGGGCCCGGCCGCUGCAAGCCUUGUUGGGUCAGCAUGUGGGAAGUCACCGAGAUGGAGUUUGAGGCGGUCGGCCUCAACCAUGAGGGUGCGCAUGGAUCUGUAGCGGCAGCCUGGUGUAAUUAUGUACAUCGGCUGGCCGUGAGCCUUGCCAGGGAGUGCUGGGCGGCCUGGUGCCCCGGCUGAAGGCAAGCGGCCUCCCUGAGACACCCAAAGACUGGCUGACAGAAGGUCUUGUGGUGGUACUGGUGUCUGAAGGCUGUGCAGUGGUGCAGACACAGGCUCAGAGUGCCCAGGUGGAGCAAGGCUCUGAUGCUGGUUGCCGCCUGUCUGGGAGCAGACUCACAGAGGCCGGCGCCCUCAGCAGUGACGAGGAGUCUCCCUGAAAGCUCUCCCUCAAGGCACAGCAGCAGGCCACCGUCACCCUUGUCAUCGGGAGCACCGAGAGUAUCCCGAGGAACACUUCAAUGUCCAGGUGUGAGGAUGUCAAGCCACCACAAGCCAGGAGGGAAGUGGCUGCUGGGGCCAAUACAGCAGGUGGAGAGGGACCAUUAAGAAACAUGAUCCCGCUGCUACCACCACCGGGUUCAGCAUCACCUCUUCACCCCUGGAUGAAGGAGAUGUUUCUUGGCGGCCAAACUCAGGAGACUCACCAGAAAAGACCAUUCACCCGUGCCUUAUAUUGUGGGUGAGGAGAGCAGCCUGGACCAAGAAUCAAGAACUGGAAUGAAGAACCAAUUAAUUAAGGCUCUGAGACUGACUGAACUCCCUUGAAGUAAAAAUGAGGUGCCUGGCCAAGCUGCUGGGUCCGUGUGACCACCGCGGGGACGCUGGAGGAGCCCGGUGCUGCCUUCCUGGGGCCCACACCCUCCUCAGCAUCUCCCUGCCUUGUUACACUCAAUGACAAUAGGUGUGUGUUGAUGCUGGGACGAAGAAGAGGAGGAGGAGGAGGAAGAUGAUGAUGAUAGAGGCAACAUGAAGAAAAGAAGAAGAGGAGGAGGAGGAAGAAUGGAAGAAGAAGAACAAGAGGAGGAAGAGGAAGAAGAGAAGAAGAAACAAGCACACACACACACACACACACAGGCACAUAAGACAAACACCUAUUUUUUUUAUAUUAUCCAUUUUUAUUAGUCCAUAUAACAUACAUUAUAUACAUAUAAUGAUAUUAUACAACAUAUGCAUAAUUCUAUACAUUUGAUCAUAGAGAGUGAGAGACUUGAAAGGUGAGAAAGAGAGCCCCCCCCCUCUCUCUCUCUCUCUCUCUCUCUCUCUCUCUCUCUCUCUCUCUCUCUCUCUCUCUCUCUCUCUCUCUCUCUCUCUCUCUCUCUCUCUCUCUCUCUCUCUCUCUCUCUCUCUCUCUCUCUCUCUCUCUCUCUCUCUCUCUCUCUCUCUCCACAGCUCACAGGACCCCACGGAUGUACCCCCCAUGGUAUGUUGACAACCCCCCCACAGACGCAUACCCCCCACAGCCACAUGAAGGACCCCCCGCCCCCCCUAGCUAACAUACUGCCCACAUAGCCUUAUCAAUGUUACUAUGUGUAUGUAUGUAUAUGUGUGUGUGUGUUUUUCUAUUAAUAAAAAGUUAAUUUGUAA